AGAGUUUGAUCCUGGCUCAGAAUGAACGUUGGCGGCGUGGAUUAGGCAUGCAAGUCGAGCGGAAAGGCCCCGCAAGGGGUACUCGAGCGGCGUAAGGGAGAGUAACGCGUGGUUCAUCUACCCUCAGGCCCGGGAUAGCUGCGGGAAACCGCAAUUAAUACCGGAUAAUAUCCCCGGAUCAAAGGUGUGAUUCCGCCUGUGGAUGAGACCGCGUCCUAUUAGCUAGUUGGUAGGGUAAUGGCCUACCAAGGCAAUGAUGGGUACUGGGUGUGAGAGCAUGACCCAGCUCACUGGGACUGAGACACUGCCCAGACACCUACGGGUGGCUGCAGUCGAGGAUCUUCGGCAAUGGGCGCAAGCCUGACCGAGCGACGCCGCGUGUGGGAUGAAGGCCUUCGGGUUGUAAACCACUGUCAGAGGGGAUGAAAUAUAUGAGGGUACUCUCUCAUAUUUGACAUAUCCUCAGAGGAAGGACGGGCUAAGUUCGUGCCAGCAGCCGCGGUAAGACGAACCGUCCAAACGUUAUUCGGAAUUACUGGGCUUAAAGGGUGCGUAGGCGGCGCGGUAAGUUGGGUGUGAAAUCCCUCGGCUCAACCGAGGAAUUGCGCUUGAUACUGCCGUGCUCGAGGGAGACAGAGGUGAGCGGAACUUAGGGUGGAGCGGUGAAAUGCGUUGAUAUCCUAAGGAACACCAGUGGCGAAAGCGGCUCACUGGGUCUCCUCUGACGCUGARGCACGAAAGCUAGGGGAGCGAACGGGAUUAGAUACCCCGGUAGUCCUAGCUGUAAACGAUGAGCACUGGGUUGGAGGGUCCUCCAUAGCCUUCCAGCCGCAGCGAAAGUGUUAAGUGCUCCGCCUGGGGAGUAUGGUCGCAAGGBUGAAACUCAAAUGAAUUGACGGG
rnacentral:rRNA from 1 species